AAAACUGUCAAUGUACGUACAAUACAAAUAUAGGCUAUGCGCAGUUUAAUGUAUUUAGUUUACAAAUUUUAAGUGAUGUAAUAAUCAAGUGAAUAAUAUUGUUUAUUAAUUUCAAUGUUUUUUAUUUUCUCUCUAUAGUGAUUACCAAUUCAGGAUGAAAAUAGUUACAUGUGAUAGCUUGCUUUGCGAUUCUGUUAUGUCUUAACCUUACAAUGACAAUAUUCUACAUUAAAUUUAAAAUACCAAUGAAUUCCAAACAUUUUUUUUAUUCAGUUACUAUAACAAACAAUAUUUUACAGAAGUAUGCAGCUCUACAUUUUAAAUUCUAACCAAAGACCAUUACACACCAAAGAAGAAGACCCCGUUACACCCCAUGAGACAAAUGGAUAUACAUUUCAUUUUCUUAAGGCUAACGCUAUAAAAAUUUGUGUCAACUAAGUUCUCCUCUAUGUUCAAUCAUUUUUCUGGAAAAGAGAGCACAUUAUUUUCAACAACGAUAAAAAGAAUCCGACAUUACCAUAUAGUAGUAUUUUAUCAAAAGAAUUGAAAAUGGAAUGCAUCCUAGUUUUUACAAAUUUAAAAGACAUAUAAGAAAUACAUUAUAAUAAGAAUUCUUUUCUUGUACAAAAUGUAUUGCUAAGCCUUGUAUCAGAUAUGCUGUGUGAAUCAAUAUGCAAAUAGAAUGCAGCAACAGUGAAAAGGAUCUGGUGUUCAAUUAAUUUACUAAAAGAGAGAGAGUAUGAUUUUUCACUACGAUAUGCAGAAUCCAACAACACUGUAAUCAUGAAAGAUUUUAGAAGACGCUAAGUAAAGUGUUCUUUUCUCACAUUGGAAAGAAACUAUGUCCUAUAGUAUUCUAUCGAAAGAAUUAAAGAAGGAAUGCAUCCUAGUUAUCAGAAAUUUAAAUAACAAAUAGCAAAUACAUCUCAUUAGGAUAUUCUUAAUAUAUAAAAAGUGUACUGCCAAGCUUUGUACUGAGUAAUUAAGAAGACUUUUAAGAAUCAACUGGCAACAAGUAAUGCAAAGAAUACUAUUCUUUAGAAAUACGAGAUAUUGUUAAAGCAGAAAUGCCAUUAAUAAGAAAUAUUGAAAGAAUGGUCUUACUUUCACAAAAAUAAAGAAGAAGAAAAUAAUCUUAACUGGAAAUCAAAUUCUACUGAUCACCAAAGUUUUUCAAAUGCUUUCUAUGAUUAAACUGUACUUGUGCCAUAUAUAAUUUUUAAUAAGGAUCAUUUUAUAUAAUUUAAAAGGGUUUUUUGUGUAAUUUCGUAAUAGAAAAAGAGAUUAAAAGACUAAUCUAGAAGCACAAGAUCUGAGUAGAAAAGAAGAAAACUGUAUUAUCAUGAAGAAACAUAUCACAUUAUUUUACAUUGGGUAGCAUUAUAUAAUAAUAUAAAAUGUAUUUGUUGUUUCAUUCAACGGAUUGCUAUAUGAAUUUUCUUAAAAAUAAUAUGUUUGUAUACUUAAUACUCCGAGUCUGAGUUUGUAAGUAAAGAAUGAAAAUUAUUAUUUAUUAAAUAUAUCUUUAAUUUAAAG